rnacentral:rRNA from 1 species
AUUGAACGCUGGCGGCAUGCCUUACACAUGCAAGUCGAACGGUAACAGGUCUUCGGAUGCUGACGAGUGGCGCACGGGUGAGUAAUACAUCGGAACGUGCCCGAUCGUGGGGGAUAACGAGGCGAAAGCUUUGCUAAUACCGCAUACGAUCUACGGAUGAAAGCGGGGGAUCUUCGGACCUCGCGCGGACGGAGCGGCCGAUGGCAGAUUAGGUAGUUGGUGGGAUAAAAGCUUACCAAGCCGACGAUCUGUAGCUGGUCUGAGAGGAUGAUCAGCCACACUGGGACUGAGACACGGCCCAGACUCCUACGGGAGGCAGCAGUGGGGAAUUUUGGACAAUGGGCGAAAGCCUGAUCCAGCCAUGCCGCGUGCAGGAUGAAGGCCUUCGGGUUGUAAACUGCUUUUGUACGGAACGAAAAGCCGCUUUCUAAUAAAGAGGGGUCAUGACGGUACCGUAAGAAUAAGCACCGGCUAACUACGUG